rnacentral:lncRNA from 1 species
UGAGAGUCAGCGACAUGCAAGCGAAUGAUAUGAGAAGGACUUUAAGAAGCUGCUGAAGAACCCAAGAGGAAGGUGGGAGCUGUUGAUGGUGUGGAAUUAGAGGCCUGAUGGAGUGGAGAGCUUUCCUCCUCAUCACCUGGGUCAGGACCAUGGAGCUCCUUGAGCCUUGAGAUUCCAGGCCCAGGAGCACAUCAUCAUUGUGCUUCUUGGGGCCCAGGCGCAUCUCCUAAGAACUUGUUCUUAGACAUGUUGUGCUCAAACUUGUGGCAUCAUAGCAGUAAUAGUUUACAAUAUACCUACAGUUUCCUGGGCAGAUCAUCGUGUGCAGACCGGCUGCAGAGAGAAGGGAACUGUUUCACUUUCAUCUUCCUGGGCCAUUUCCAGAUAUGAAUUGCAGAGACAUAUUUCAAUAUAUCCUCACCCAAAUAUGCUUUAGAAGUACAUUUCUUUUAAUGUAAUAAGAUUUAUGUCCUUUGUGUUUGUUUAGAGGGUAAAUCUGGAUUUGUAUUUUUAGAAGUUACUUUCACCAAAGAAAUUCGAAAGAAAUAGUGUUUCAGAAAAAUCAAAACAAGCCAUAGAAAUCUAAUAUGUUUCAGAUACUAUAUUGGGCUGCAUGAAGACUAAAUCCAUAAUAUGUAUGAAUAAUGUAUUCUAAAGUAAAUAUCAUAUUUUGUCAAAUUA